GCAUCACCAUCAAUACAUGAUUCUUCAGCUGAUUGCCAGGAUGAGGAGUUUGUGGAAGAGGAAGUUUCUGUUGCACCCCUAGAUAAAUGCAGAAUUUAAGCGCAUUACCACCAUGCCCCUGCAAUCCAGAUUUCUGACACAGCUGGAUGUAAGAUCUGACAAACUUCUAAAGCUGUUCGAAAAACGAGGAGGACAGAUAGGCAAGCGUCUUGAGAGAACUUUGGCCCCCAUGACUCAAGAAGAUUACGUUGAUGCAGGGCGGGAAUGUGUUCUCAAGUGGCUGUGUGUGUACCUCAACGAAGACCCAGC